rnacentral:rRNA from 1 species
AUUGAACGCUGGCGGCAGGCCUAACACAUGCAAGUCGGGCGGAGCGGCGGACGGGUGCGUAAUGUAUGGGGAACUGCCUGGUAGAGGGGGAUAACGUCCGGAAACGGGCGCUAAUACCGCAUCCUAUCAGAUGAGCCUAGGUCGGAUUAGCUAGGUGGUGGGGUAAGGGCCUACCAAGGCGACGCUCCGUAACUGGUCUGAGAGGAUGAUCAGUCACACUGUAACUGAGACACGGUCCAGACUCCUACGGGAGGCAGCAGUGGGGAAUAUUGGACAAUGGGCGCAAGCCUGAUCCAGCCAUGCCGCGUGUGUGAAGAAGGUCUUCGGAUUGUAAAGCACUUUAAGUUGGGAGGCGUUACCAACAGAAUAAGCACCGGCUAACUUCGUGCCAGCAGCCGCGGUAAUAC